UGGGGAAUAUUGGACAAUGGGCGAAAGCCUGAUCCAGCCAUGCCGCGUGUGUGAAGAAGGUCUUCGGAUUGUAAAGCACUUUAAGUUGGGAGGAAGGGCAUUAACCUAAUACGUUAGUGUUUUGACGUUACCGACAGAAUAAGCACCGGCUAACUCUGUGCCAGCAGCCGCGGUAAUACAGAGGGUGCAAGCGUUAAUCGGAAUUACUGGGCGUAAAGCGCGCGUAGGUGGUUUGUUAAGUUGGAUGUGAAAUCCCCGGGCUCAACCUGGGAACUGCAUUCAAAACUGACUGACUAGAGUAUGGUAGAGGGUGGUGGAAUUUCCUGUGUAGCGGUGAAAUGCGUAGAUAUAGGAAGGAACACCAGUGGCGAAGGCGACCACCUGGACUAAUACUGACGCUGAGGUGCGAAAGCGUGGGGAGCAAACA
rnacentral:rRNA from 1 species